UCCGGUGUAUGGUGCAAGCUAUCUGCUGGCCUGCCAAGUUUGAUGGGAAAGCUUAGAGACUGUUUCCACGUGCGAGUUUACAACACAAAGGAUUAGUUGCAGUGGUGGGAGGCCUUAUGGCCAGGAGGAUACAACUACUUGAUCAAGACUUCAUCUUGAUUAUCCCAUUAAAGACCCUAUCAGUCAGUAAACUGUUGGAUGUGCCAGCACGAGGACCUGGGUUUGAAUCUCCAGCGCUUACGUAAGAGCCAUUCAUUCCCCUUUCUGUCCAAAGAGGAACAGCCACAGAAGAAGAAAGAUCCCCUUCGCCUACUCAGUGUGGCAGGAAGAGGAACCUGGAUGUGAUUUGGAUUUUUUAAAAAAGAGAUCUUGCUUUGGUGUGGCCCAAUGUAGCUUUUCACUUUGCAGGUCUGAUUGCGACCACAAGUGACUGCACCUCUGAGGGGACUCUUGGCAGCCACCUCUGAGGGUGGGGUUUUCCCCUCCCCAGCCUCGUGACUCCUCAGGUGCCUCCAGUUAUCUCUAGAGCCACCGGAGACUUCUUCAGGCCAAACUGAAGUAUCUGACACAAACAUUCGAGG